CAAGCUGGCACUGGCCUGGAAUUAGUACUCCCAACCUGGUUCUCCAGGGCUGCUCUGCCAUCUCUUGAGACUCCAGACUCUGAAUCCAAGGCUCAACUGCCCCAUUUUAGAUGCCUCAUGAGCCUAAAUGACCUGCCUGCAAGGCCAGAUCCACCCCUCCCCUGCUGUCUCUCCCUUGCCAACAUCCACAGCAGUCCCCACGUUCAGGAGAAAGAAGCGUUAGAAACAGGGGACUGUGGCAGACCCAGAAAGAAAACUCCAGAGAUGGAAAACUAUGAUCCUUUGCACUAUGAAAUAAGCUAGAGCACAACUGAAUGUCUGCUUGGAACACACGACAUCCACAGAAACAUCUUUAAACACAGAAGGUCUUCUCCAAGCUCAUCUCUGGUGAUAGGACAACAGUGGGCCUCAAGCUUCUCCAGCCAGUAGCAGACCAGAUCUGGUUUCAACAAACUUGGAACUCUCCAAGCCCUUUCCUGCUGUGAACUGAUUUAUUUGGAUCCAUCUGUCAGAGCGUGACUGAAGAGUGUCCGGCCAGCUAGCAGCCCAGCUGCAGCAGAUGUUGUCUCAGAAUGCCCUGCGAGGUGAGGCUCAUAUGGAUUUUACCUGCCCGUUCCACUUGUUCUCCUUUUGCCCUCCUGGGAAAGAGUUGGAAAGGGGUUGAGAACAUCUGCAUGACCCAUGAGAACCAGGAAAGUUAACAGGGCAUCUUGGGGGCCACAGAGCACUAAGGAGGCAGGCGUGCUGGUGCAGCAAAUGGCGGUGACCCUGGCUCUAGCCUAUGAUUGUACAUAUAAAAUAAAUGUUGCUGAUACAAGGGCAUGUACAAUUUAUUAAUAAUAAAA
rnacentral:lncRNA from 10 species